UCCACCUUCCCAGUAUUGCAGAACUCU
rnacentral:piRNA from 1 species